GCCUGGGUGGCUCAGUUGGUUGAGCGUCUGGCUUCAGCUCAGGUCAUGAUCUCAUGGUUUGUGGGUUCAAGCCCCUCAUCGGGCU
rnacentral:tRNA from 1 species